GGAAAAGUACCGAAGUGGUCGUAACGGGGCGCUCUCGAAAAGCGUUUGCGGGCAACCGCACGUGGGUUCGAAUCCCACCUUUUCCG
rnacentral:tRNA from 2 species